rnacentral:rRNA from 1 species
AAAAGUGUCAAGCAGGCAGACUCAAUUUCUGCCACGAAUACAUUAGCAUNCGGAUAAUGUGAAUAGGACCCUGUCCUCCUAUUUUCAGUUGGUUUUGGCAGCGCGAGGACUAGGGUAAUGAUUAAUAGGGAUAGUUGGGGGCAUUAAUAUUUAAUUGUCAGAGGUGAAAUUCUUGGAUUUAUGAAAGAUUAACUUCUGCGAAAGCAUCUGCCAAGGAUGUUUUCAUUAAUCAAGAACGAAAGUUAGGGGAUCGAAGACGAUCAGAUACCGUCGUAGUCUUAACCAUAAACGAUGCCGACCAGCGAUUAGGAGACGUUGAAUACAAAACACCACCAUCGGUGCGGUCGUCCUUGGCGUCGGUCUUUCAGGGGCCGGACGCGGGGACGGCUAUAGCCCGGUGGCACCGGUGAAUGACUCCCCAUAGACAGACUNUGUGAGAAAAAAACAAAACAACAAAAAAAAAA